UACGGGGGGAGCAAGCGUUGUUCGGAUUUACUGGGCGUAAAGGGCGCGUAGGCGGCCACCGCAAGUCAAUUGUGAAAUCUCCGGGCUUAACUCGGAAAGGUCAACUGAUACUGCGGGGCUAGAGUGCAGAAGGGGCAACUGGAAUUCUCGGUGUAGCGGUGGAAUGCGUAGAUAUCGAGAGGAACACCUGCGGCGAAGGCGGGUUGCUGGGCUGACACUGACGCUGAGGCGCGAAAGCUAGGGGAGCGAACGGG
rnacentral:rRNA from 1 species